rnacentral:lncRNA from 1 species
AUCUAAUUGGUCCACAUAGUCACUGCUUUCCAAUACGCAUUUAAUGCCUAUAGGUCAGUUUUUUCGUUUAAAAAUUUUGUAUAACGAAAAAACUCCUAUCUUUUGAAAAAAAUUAUGACAUCCUGUGAUGUAAUAUAUCCCAGAAUGUCAUAAUAUGACCUUGGAUAUCAUAAGAGGGAUAUUUUUGUCUAAUCACUUUCCAACGCGCAUUUAAUGCAUGC